GACGAACGCUGGCGGCGUGCUUAACACAUGCAAGUCGAACGGUAAGGCCCCUUCGGGGUACGACGAGUGGCGAACGGGUGAGUAACACGUGAGCAACCUGCCCUUGACUUCGGAAUACCAGCUGGAAACAGCUGCUAAUACCGGAUAUGACCUUGGCCCUCAUGGGUUGAGGUGGAAAGCUCCGGCGGUCAGGGAUGGGCUCGCGGCCUAUCAGCUUGUUGGUGAGGUAAUGGCUCACCAAGGCUUCGACGGGUAGCCGGCCUGAGAGGGCGACCGGCCAC
rnacentral:rRNA from 1 species